rnacentral:lncRNA from 1 species
CGUCCAGCGGAAAAAGGCCACAAAAAUGGGUGGGCUAUAGCCUUGGGGGGGGGGGGCUGGCCAACUUCGUCCGCCGGACUCGGAAUGCCGCGAGCCUUUGCGAGGGGCCUCCGUGUGCCAAAAAUAGGCCGCAGGCAAAGCCGUGCCCAAAAUUAACCGCCCGAAGGCCGGGGCGCCAAGUUCGUCCAGCGGAAAAAGGCCACAAAAAUGGGUGGGCUAUAGCCUUCGGGGGUGGGGCUUGCCAACUUCGUCCGCCGCACUCGGAAUGCCGCGAGCCUUUGCGAGGGGCCUCCGUGUGCCAAAAAUAGGCCGCGGGCAAAACCGCGCCCAAAAAUAACCGCCCGAAGGCCGGGGCGCCAAGUUCGUCCAGCGGAAAAAGGCCACAAAAACGGGUGGGCUAUAGCCUUGGGGGGUGGGGCUGGCCAACUUCGUCCGCCGCACUCCGAAUGCCGCGAGCCUUUGCGAGGGGCCUCCGUGUGAUGAAAAUAGGCCACGGGCAAAGCCGCGCCCAAAAUUACCGCCCGAAGGAUGGGGCGCCAAGUUCGUCCAGCGGAAAAAGGCCACAAAAAUGGGUGGGCUAUAGCCUUGGGGGGUGAUGUUGGCCAACUUCGUCCGCUGGACUCGGAAUGCCGCGAGACUUUGCGAGGGGCCUCCGUGUGCCAAAAAUAGGCCGCGGGCAAAGCCGUGCCCAAAAUUAACCGCCCGAAGGCCGGGUCGCCAAUUUCGUCCAGCGGAAAAAGGCCACAAAAACUGGUGGGCUAUAGCCUUGGGGGGUGAUGCUGGCCCACUUCGUCCGCCGGACUCGGAAUGCCGCGAGACUUUGCGAGGGGUCUCCGUGUGCCAAAAAUAGGCCACGUGCAAAGCCGCGCCCAAAAUUAACCACCCGAAGGCCGGGGCGCCAAGUUCGUCCAGCGGAAAAAGGCCACAAAAACGGGUGGGCUAUAGCCUUGGGGGGUGGGGCCGGCCAACUUCGUCCGCCGGACUCGGAAUGCCGCGAGACUUUGCGAGGGGCCUCCGUGUGCCAAAAAUAGGCCACGGACAAAGCCGCGCCCAUAAAUAACCACCCGAAGGUCGGGGAGCCAAGUUCGUCUAUCGGAAAAAGGCCACAAAAACGGGUGGGCUAUAGCCUUGGGGGGUGGGGCUGGCCCACUUCGUCCGCCGGACUCGGAAUGCAGCGAGACUUUACGAGGGGCCUCCGUGUGCCAAAAAUAAGCCGUGGGCAAAGCCGCGCCCAAAAAUAACCGCCCGAAGGCUGGGGCGCCAAGUUCGUCCAGCGGAAAAAGGCCACAAAAACGGGUGGGCUAUAGCCUUGGGGGGUGGGGCUGGCCAACUUCUUCCGCCGGACUCGGAAUGCCGCGAGACUUUGCGAGGGGCCUCCAUGUGCCAAAAAUAGGCCACGGACAAAGCCGCGCCCAUAAAUAACCACCCGAAGGUCGGGGAGCCAAGUUCGUCUAUCGGAAAAAGGCCACAAAAACGGGUGGGCUAUAGCCUUGGGGUGUGGGGCUGGCCGACUUCGUCCGCCGGACUCGGAAUGCCGUGAGACUUUACGAGGGGCCUCCGUGUGCCAAAAAUAGGCCGCGGGCAAAGCCGCGCCCAAAAAUAACCGCCCGAAGGCCGGGGCGCCAAGUUCGUCCAGCGGAAAAAGGCCACAAAAACGGGUGGGCUAUAGCCUUGGGGGGUGGGGCUGGCCAACUUCUUCCGCCGGACUCGGAAUGCCGCGAGAUUUUGCGAGGGGCCUCCUUGUACCAAAUAGGCCACGGACAAAGCCGCGCCCAAAAUUAACAGCCCGAAGGCCGGGGCGCCAAGUUCGUCCCGCGGAAAACGCCACAACAACGGGUGGGCUAUAGCCUUGGGGGGUGGGGCUGGCCAACUUCGUCCGCUGCACUCCGAAUGCCGCGAGCCUUUGCGAGGGGCCUCCAUGUGCUGAAAAUAGGCCGUGGGCAAAGCCGCGUCCAAAAUUAAUUGCCCGAAGGCCGGGGCGCCAAGUUCGUCCAGCAGAAAAAGGCCACAAAAAUGGGUGGGCUAUAGCCUUGGGGGGUGAUGCCGGCCAACUUCGUCUGCCGGACUCGGAAUGCCGCGAGGCUUUGCGAGGGGCCUCCGUGUGCCAAAAAUAGGCCGCUGGCAAAUCCGCGCCCAAAAUUAACUGCCCGAAGGCCGGGUCGCCAAGUUCGUCCAGCGGAAAAAGGCCACAAAAACGGGUGGGCUAUAGCCUUGGGGGGUGGGGCUGGCCAACUUCGUCCGCCGGACUUGGAAUGCCGCGAGACAUUGCGAGGGGCCUCUGUGUGCCAAAAAUAGGCCGCGGUCAUAGCCGCGCCCAAAAUUAACCUCCCUGUUGCGUAAAUUAGCAAGUGUACUAGUCGGCACAAGUAAUAUAAUGAAGAGUAGAGUAUCGUCCCACAGAGAUUGUAUAUCCUAUUAGUUACCAAAAUUAUUCUAACUCUAAUUUAUUUGAACAAUCGAAUAAGCGAAUUUAGAUUAAAAUAAAAUAAAAUAAAAUAAUUAAAAAUUAAACAAAGAUGCAGACAGUAAUAGAAAAUUACCAAGAGAUUAAAACACUAGGACAUCCGAUUUCACCAUAACCAAUCCAAUUUAAUCCUCCAUCUAUGCUAUUAAAGUUUACUACCCAUGUUGACAGUGAAUUUCCCUAAUUUAUUCAAUAUCCUCUCUCGAGUAAUAUCAAAAAUAUCUCCACAUAUCAACCCACUAUAUCUCUAUGUGAAUUUAAAUAUGCAAAGAUUCAUUAAGCUCUAUGGAAAUUCUUAAAUAAGACUGCACGAAUCACGUUGGCACAUCUCUGUCUUUCGUUCAAUUCAUGGCAUCCAUUACACAGAGCAAAAAUACAUAAAUCUCCUCUCGGUCUCAUUAUGUAUCCUCAAAUCAUUCAAAUAUUGGCCAGAUAUUUAAAAGCAUUAAGCACAAUAAUGAACACUCAAUCAUGGAAUAAUUAAUUAAAAAAAAUAACAUAGAUUUAUGGAAUUAAAUCUUCAUAGUUAGGCUACAUCGUAGCCCUAGUAAAAUAAAUUAGUUCAUGGGAAUAUAAAGAGAAUUCAUUAAUUUAAUUGGAAACAUUCAAGCAAGAUAAUAGAGAAGAGAGAAAGAAAAACUCAAGAAUUAAUGUGUCUUCCUUCUGCUCUAAAUUAUUCCCGCUGCUCUCGGCUUUCCUCAAAACUUGCGGCUGCUGCUCUUCUCUUUAUUUUCUCUUGGCUGCUAUUCUCCUUGUGCGGCUGCCUUUUUCCUUCUCCUGUGCUUCCGCUUGGCUUUGCCCUUUUAUAAUAUUGUGACUUCUUCCAAAUCCUUAAAUGAAAAGGAUUUCCAUACAAAACAAAUCCAGCCCACCUUUCAAGCCCAUCCACGUAUUUCAUUCCUAAUCCAAUCAUAAUUAAAAGCAAAAUCAUCUCCACGUGUUGCAUGCCAUAUUCUCUUUGUAAAUGAAUUCUUCAAUGCUUCCUCCACGUGCUGCAUGCAUGCUUAAUGAUUAAUUAAAUUAAAUCCUUUGUGAUUUGUUUCAAUUAAUUCUCUUUAAUCCCAUAUUGUACCUAAAAUAAUAAAAUAUAAAAAUUAAAAUAAAAUUAACAUAAUAAAACAUAAAAUUAAGUUAUGAAAGCAUUAAAAUAAUAGAUAAAUUAUGAGCACAUCAAAUACCCCCAAACUUAACAUUUUGCUAGUCCUCGAGCAAAAAACUAAAAUAAAAACUACGAAAAGAAAAUUCUAACUAAACCACUUUCGCAGGUGAUCGCGAUUGCAUUUAGCGUAUGCAACAAGCCUUUAAACCCCUAGGCGGCCCUAGUGGACGAGUUAUAGUCUCGUGAGGGUUUCCAGCGAUGAUACCCACAAACAUCAUCAAAAAUGCCUCAAAGAUUGCAUAAAGUAUAUAGCUCAAAGAAAAUUAAAAAUAUUAGCAAAGUUCUAACUUUAAUUCAAUGGUCAACCUCAUCUCAUAUUGGAUUCCUGUGUUGUGUGUGAAUCAAUUCAAUCAAAACUCAUUCUCAAGAUCUUCAACAUCAACAGCCCUUUGUCUCGAAUAAUAAACAGAGUAGGUCAAACUAACCUCAUCAUCUUGAUCUCUUUUUUUUUUUUUUUUUCUCAGGCAUAAAUUUGCAUUUUUUUUUCUUGAAGCACAUGCUUUUUUUUUUUUUUUUUUUCAUUUCAUUUCUUUGUCCAUAAUCAGGAGCUUUCACUCUACCCCUUAAGGUAGCCUUCUUCUCAUGGUAGAUUAUCCUCUACAUACUGGUGGUACAUAGGCCCAAAUUACUCAAGGAUAGCUUCACUCUUAAGGGUUGUAGGUAGCUAUUUCUGACUAUGGUGCCUGGAUAAACUUAAGUAAUGUAGAAUCGAGGCAAACAGUCAUUUACUCAAUCUAAAAUUCUCAACUUAGGCUGUAUCAAUCUCAAAUCUCAAGUCAAAAUCUAAAAGAAUUGAUAUAAGUGCGCAAGAUAUUUAAAGAAUCACAAUCAAGACGAAACUAACACAAGAAUCAAGUAUAAACUAAGAUAAUAUUCAUCCCUUUCUAAGAACCAUAUUUAUUGUCAAUCAUAAACUCAUCAUAGGCAUUAAAAUCUUUUUUUUUUUGAAUAAAAUGAAAAGCAAAUAUUCCCACCCCCAAACUUAAAAUAAACAUUGUCCUCAAUGUAACGAAAAAGAAAAGGAAAAGAGAAACUCCCCCGGUUUUGCACUUGAAGAUAGAAAGUUGUAGCUGAGUCGUUGAAAGGCAUGUGGAAAGUGGAUGUUCAUCGACCCCCGAACUCGUGCAAAAUCUAGAUAAAACAAAAUAAAAUAAGUAAAAGAAAAGAAAAAGAAUACGAAAAAAAAAUUGAUAAUAAUAAAGUUUAGAAAGCUUGGGUUGCCUCCCAAGAAGCGCUUAAUUUAUAGUCAUUAGCUUGACUAUCUUUGGUCGUCAUUCAAGACUAGACAUCUCAAUAGCUAUCUUGUGCUUAUCAAAUGCAGCAUCCAAAUAAGGCUUCAAUCGAUGACCAUUAACCUUGAAUGUGCCCUUUGUAUCAUGUGAAACUUCUACCACGCCAGACGGAAAGACUUGUGUUAUUGUAAAAGGACCAGACCAACGGGAUCGCAACUUGCCUGGGAAAAGCCGAAGUCGAGAAUUAUAUAAUAAAACAUUUUGGCCAACUUGAAAUUCACGUCUGAGUAUAUGCUUGUCAUGCCAAUGUUUAGUGCGGGCUUUAUAGAUUCGAGCAUUCUCAUAAGCUGCAUUGCGAAAUUCAUCCAUUUCAUUAAGUUGCAACAAUCUCUUUUCUCCUGCUGCUGGCAUAUCAAAGUUCAAAAUCUUCAUCGCCCAAUAUGCCCUAUGCUCAAGUUCAACAGGUAGAUGGCAUGCUUUUCCGAAUACUAGACGAUAAGGAGACAUUCCAAUAGUGGUUUUGAAAGCUGUUCGAUACGCCCAGAGUGCAUCGUCUAAUUUUAUCGACCAAUCCUUCCGUGAGCAUUUACUGUUUUCUCAAUUCUCUUAAUCUAAUUCUCGAUUCGAAACUUCNNNNNNNNNNNNNNNNNNNNNNNNNNNNNNNNNNNNNNNNNNNNNNNNNNNNNNNNNNNNNNNNNNNNNNNNNNNNNNNNNNNNNNNNNNNNNNNNNNNNNNNNNNNNNNNNNNNNNNNNNNNNNNNNNNNNNNNNNNNNNNNNNNNNNNNNNNNNNNNNNNNNNNNNNNNNNNNNNNNNNNNNNNNNNNNNNNNNNNNNNNNNNNNNNNNNNNNNNNNNNNNNNNNNNNNNNNNNNNNNNNNNNNNNNNNNNNNNNNNNNNNNNNNNNNNNNNNNNNNNNNNNNNNNNNNNNNNNNNNNNNNNAAUUCUACUUCAGAUAUUAGUUAGUGGCAUUUCAUUCUUCCUUGAAAUGUUACCAGUUCUCUGACACCGGUCACAAGCAGCAAUAAAAACAUAAGCAUCUUUAAAUAAAGUGGGCCAAUAAAAACCUGAUUGAAGCACUUUUGCCGCAGUUUUGGUUGCGCCAAAAUGUCCACCGACUUCUCGAGAAUGACAGUGUUGUAGAAUGCUUCUCAUCUCUUCUUCCGGGACACAUCGUCGAAUGAUUUGGUCUGAACAAUACUUAUACAAGAAUGGAUCUUCCCAAAGAUAAUACUUAACAUCUGAAAAGAAUUUCUUCUUCUGUUGAUAUGAUAAAUCAGAAGGAACAACGGCGCUUGCCAAAUAGUUCACGAAAUCUGCAUACCAUGGUGCGUCGCAAGUUUGCAAGGCCAACAGCUUUUCAUCAGGAAAUUCUUCGGUGAUUGAAACCAUUACAUUAUCCCCUCGCUCUCCCUGCUCUAACCGAGAUAAGUGAUCUGCCACUAAAUUUUCAGAUCCCUUCUUAUCCCGAAUCUCUAAAUCAAAUUCUUGUAGUAAGAGCACCCAACGGAUCAGUCUUGGUUUAGCAUUUGCCUUUGUGAACAGAUACUUGAGAGCUGAAUGAUCAGUGUAAACUAUUACCUUGGAGCAAAUCAGAUAUGAGCGGAAUUUUUCAAGUGCAAACACAACGGCUAGAAACUCUUUCUCAGUGGUAGCAUAAUUUAAUUGUGCGUCUGUCAGAGUUCGACUUGCAUAGUAAAUAACAUGCAACAUGUUUUUAUACCGCUGCCCCAAAACUGCUCCAAUAGCAUAAUCACUCGCAUCACACAUAACCUCGAACGGCAGAUCCCAAUCUGGAGCCAUAAUAACUGGAGCUGAAAUCAGUUUCUCCUUUAAAGUGUUAAAAGCCUGCAAACACUUAUCGGUAAAAUUGAAAGGCACAUCCUUGAGUAAAAGGUUGCAUAAGGGUUUCGUUAUCUUUGAAAAAUCUUUAAUAAAACGUCGAUAAAACCCGGCAUGCCCUAGAAAACUUCUUACUGCUUUCACGGAAGUUGGUGGUGGCAACUUCUCAAUGACUUCGAUCUUCGCUCUAUCUACUUCAAUUCCUUUAGCUGAAAUACGAUGACCUAGCACAAUGCCUUCUUGCACCAUAAAGUGACAUUUUUCCCAAUUCAAAACCAAGUUUGUCUCCUCACAUCGCUGUAAAACUAGAUCUAAAUUGUUUAGACAAUGAUCAAAUGAAGAUCCAAAAACUGAGAAAUCAUCCAUAAACACCUCAAUGAAUCUCUCCACCAUAUCAGAAAAUAUUGCCAUCAUGCAACGUUGAAAGGUAGCUGGUGCAUUGCAUAAGCCGAAUGGCAUUCUUCUAUAAGCAAAUGUACCAUAAGGACAUGUGAAGGUGGUUUUCUCUUGAUCUUCUGGUGCUAUAGGGAUUUGAUUAUAGCCUGAAUAUCCAUCUAAAAAGCAAUAGUAGGCAUGACCAGCAAGUCUCUCCAACAUUUGAUCAAUAAAAGGUAGUGGAAAAUGGUCUUUUCUAGUAGCAGCAUUAAGUUUUCUGUAAUCCAUGCAUACCCGCCAACCUGUGACUGUCCUUGUUGGGAUAAGUUCAUUGUUGUCAUUCUUCACGACCGUCAUUCCUUCUUUCUUUGGUACCACUUGCACUGGACUGACCCAUUUGCUAUCAGAGAUUGGAUAAAUUAUCCCAGCAUCCAAUAAUUUAAGCACCUCUGCCCUAACCACUUCUUGCAUGUUUGGAUUUAGGCGCCUUUGUGGCUGUACUGUCGGCUGAUAACUCUCCUCCAUUAGAAUCUUGUGCAUGCAAAUUGAAGGGCUUAUUCCUUUGAUGUCGGCAAUAGUCCAUCCUAGAGCAGCUUUGUGAUCCCUCAAAACUCGAAGUACCUUUUCCUCUUCAAGAUCUGUCAAGGCAGAAGAAAUAAUAACUGGUAGCUUAGAGUUAUCAUCUAAAUAAGCAUACCUUAAAUGAGAGGGCAAUGGCUUAAGCUCAUGUUUUGGAGGUUCUUCUAUUGAAGGUUUUGGUCUAGAAGGAUUUCUACCAAGCUCUUCCAAUUCCGGCUUUUUCGAAGGCAAGUAAAAUGGUGAAGCUUCCAAAUACCGAGCAACUUCCUGAAUACUUGUAUUCGUAGAUUGAGUAGUCCCAGAGUGAACAAUACAUCCUUCUAGUGUGUCAUUCGGCAUUGUAUCGCGCAAGCUCUCAAUUAUCUCCUUAUCAAUGGUGUCUAUUUGAAGGCACGUGUCGAUCUCUGAUGGGUAUUUCAUUGCUUCGAACACAUUGAAAGUGACUUGCUCAUUUUGCACCCUAAGGAUUAGUUUUCCUUCUUGGACAUCAAUAAGAGUUCUUCCUGUGGCCAAGAAUGGUCGGCCUAAAAUGAUUGGUAUCUCUCGAUCUUCAAUCAUAUCCAAAACAAUAAAAUCUGCAGGAAAUAUAAACUUGUCGACCUUAACAAGUACGUCUUCAAUCAUUCCUCUAGGAUAUUUUAUAGACCUAUCUGCCAAUUGAAGAGAAACAGUUGUUGCCUUUGGUUCACCAAGUCCUAAUUUCCUGAAAACAGAGAGAGGCAUCAAAUUAAUACUUGCACCUAAAUCACACAAAGCUUUAUCAAAAUACGUAUUUCCAAUAGUGCAUGGGAUAGAAAAACUCCCUGGAUCUUUCAACUUCGGUGGCAAUUUAUUCUGUAGAAUUGCAGUUGACUCUUCAGUUAACAACACGGUUUCAUGCUCUUCUAAUUUCCUCUUGUUGGAUAAAAUUUCUUUCAUGAAUUUAGCAUAGCUUGGCAUUUGUUCUAAUGCAUCUGCAAAAGGAAUGUUAAUAUGCAACUUUUUAAAGACAUCAAGAAAUUUAGAGAACUGCUUAUCUAAUUUGUUUUUCCGAAGGCGCUGAGGAAACGGGAUUGGAGGGACAUAAGCUUUGACUGGUGCUGAUUGUUGUGAUUGUGGAAUUUCUGUACUUGUUGUCUUAUAUGUUCUAGUGGUGUCUUUAGUUUGCUCCAUGUUAUCUUCUUCAACUUCCUUUACUUCUUUAGGCGGAUCUUCAAGUUGUCUACCAUUCCGAAGCAUAAUUGCAUUCAUUUGUUCCUUUGGAUUUGUCUCUGUGUUGCUCGGCAGAGAGCCUUGUGGUCUGCUGGAUAACAAGUUUGCAAUCUGACCCAUUUGCACCUCGAGGUUCCGGAUUGAUGCAGCUUGAUUUUGAAAAGUUGUCUCUGUUUUGGUCAUGAAUUGAGACAUAUUUGUUGUAAGUUGGGUAAGAGCAUCUUCCAAAUUUGACUUCUUCUCUUGUGAUUGGAACCCUGGAGGUGGUUUCAAUGUAUUUUGAUUGUUGUUCCAUGACAAAUUCGGGUGGUUUCUCCAACCAGGAUUGUAGGUAUUAGAAUAUGGGUUAUUUUGUUGCCUCUGAAAGUUUGACACAUAAUGAGCUUGUUCAGCAGAUGAUGACGCAAAAGGACUUCCAACUUGGCAGUUGACACUGGUAUGGUUCCCUCCGCAUAAUUCACACACUUGAGUUUGAAUAGCACUGACAUUUAGGUGCUCCAGUUUAUUAGAUAAAGCAGUCAUCUGUGCAGAUAAAACAGUGACAACAUCAACAUUAUGGGCUCCUACAAUUUUCCUUGGCAUUGAUCGCUCUGAAGUCCACUGGUAAUUGUUGGAUGCCAUCUCCUCCAAUAAUUCAUAAGCUGCUUCUGGUGUUUUUCCCAUUAACGUUCCUCCUGCUGCAGCAUCAAUUAUUGUUCUGGUAUUGGAUCCCAAACCAUUGUAAAAUGUCUGCACCUGAAGCCAAACUGGUAGACCAUGAUGUGGACAUUUUCUUAGUAGGUCUUUGUAUCUCUCCCAUGCUUCAUAUAAUGAUUCCAUCUCGAACUGAGCAAAGGUUGUGAUGUCAUUCCUCAAUUUGGCUGUUUUUGCUGGAGGAAAGUACUUUGCUAAAAACUUCUGUGCUAAACCAUCCCAAGUAGUGAUUGUUCCAGCAGGGAGUGAGUUCAACCACUCUUUUGCUUUAUCUCUCAGUGAGAACGGAAAAAGCCUUAGCCUGAUAGCAUUGUCUGAAACACCAUUUUGCUUAAAUGUGUCACAAAUUUCCAAGAAAUUUGCAAUAUGAGCAUUUGGAUCAUCAUUUGGCAUCCCAGCAAACUGUACUGACGUUUGAAUCAUCUGGAUUAUGGCUGGCUUAAUUUCAAAAUUAUUGGCUUGAACGGCAGGACGUGCAAUGCUUGAGCGAGCACCAUUAACUGUAGGUGCAGCAUAAUCUCUUAAGGGUUUUGCUUCCUCAUUUCCAUGUAACGCUUCGUCAGCCAUGAUUAGUUGUUGCUCCUGUGAAGCUUCUCUCCUUUCUUUAUUAAGCCUUCUACACGUACGUUCAAUCUCUGGAUCAAAAGGCAAUAAAUCAAAACUUCUUGAGCGUCUCAUAAAAUUAAACAAGAAAAUAAAAAUUCAAAUAAAAACAAUAAAAAUAAAAUUCAAAUUAAACUAAGGUUAGUUGGUAUCGAUACUAAUCCAAACAAUCCCCGGCAACGGCGCCAAAAACUUGUUGCGUAAAUUAGCAAGUGUACUAGUCGGCACAAGUAAUAUAAUGAAGAGUAGAGUAUCGUCCCACAGAGAUUGUAUAUCCUAUUAGUUACCAAAAUUAUUCUAACUCUAAUUUAUUUGAACAAUCGAAUAAGCGAAUUUAGAUUAAAAUAAAAUAAAAUAAAAUAAUUAAAAAUUAAACAAAGAUGCAGACAGUAAUAGAAAAUUACCAAGAGAUUAAAACACUAGGACAUCCGAUUUCACCAUAACCAAUCCAAUUUAAUCCUCCAUCUAUGCUAUUAAAGUUUACUACCCAUGUUGACAGUGAAUUUCCCUAAUUUAUUCAAUAUCCUCUCUCGAGUAAUAUCAAAAAUAUCUCCACAUAUCAACCCACUAUAUCUCUAUGUGAAUUUAAAUAUGCAAAGAUUCAUUAAGCUCUAUGGAAAUUCUUAAAUAAGACUGCACGAAUCACGUUGGCACAUCUCUGUCUUUCGUUCAAUUCAUGGCAUCCAUUACACAGAGCAAAAAUACAUAAAUCUCCUCUCGGUCUCAUUAUGUAUCCUCAAAUCAUUCAAAUAUUGGCCAGAUAUUUAAAAGCAUUAAGCACAAUAAUGAACACUCAAUCAUGGAAUAAUUAAUUAAAAAAAAUAACAUAGAUUUAUGGAAUUAAAUCUUCAUAGUUAGGCUACAUCGUAGCCCUAGUAAAAUAAAUUAGUUCAUGGGAAUAUAAAGAGAAUUCAUUAAUUUAAUUGGAAACAUUCAAGCAAGAUAAUAGAGAAGAGAGAAAGAAAAACUCAAGAAUUAAUGUGUCUUCCUUCUGCUCUAAAUUAUUCCCGCUGCUCUCGGCUUUCCUCAAAACUUGCGGCUGCUGCUCUUCUCUUUAUUUUCUCUUGGCUGCUAUUCUCCUUGUGCGGCUGCCUUUUUCCUUCUCCUGUGCUUCCGCUUGGCUUUGCCCUUUUAUAAUAUUGUGACUUCUUCCAAAUCCUUAAAUGAAAAGGAUUUCCAUACCAAACAAAUCCAGCCCACCUUUCAAGCCCAUCCACGUAUUUCAUUCCUAAUCCAAUCAUAAUUAAAAGCAAAAUCCUCUCCACGUGUUGCAUGCCAUAUUCUCUUUGUAAAUGAAUUCUUCAAUGCUUCCUCCACGUGCUGCAUGCAUGCUUAAUGAUUAAUUAAAUUAAAUCCUUUGUGAUUUGUUUCAAUUAAUUCUCUUUAAUCCCAUAUUGUACCUAAAAUAAUAAAAUAUAAAAAUUAAAAUAAAAUUAACAUAAUAAAACAAAAAAUUAAGUUAUGAAAGCAUUAAAAUAAUAGAUAAAUUAUGAGCACAUCACUCCCGAAGGCCGGGGCGCCAAGAUUGUCCAGCGGAAAAAGGCCACAAAAACGGGUGGGCUAUAGCCUUGAGGGGUGGGGAUGGCCAACUUCGUCCGCCGGACUAGGAAUGCCGCAAGACUUUGCGAGGGGCCUCCGUGUGCCAAAAAUAGGCCGUGGGCAAAGCCACGCCCAAAAAUAACCGCCCGAAGGCCGGGGCGCCAAGUUCGUCCAGCGGAAAAAGGCCACAAAAACGGGUGGGCUAUAGCUUUGGGGGGUGGGGCUGGCCAACUUUGUCCGCCGGACUCGGAAUGCCGCGAGACUUUGCGAGGGGCCUCCAUGUGCCAAAAAUAGGCCGUGGGCAAAGCUGCGCCCAAAAAUAACCGCCCGAAAGCCAGGGCGCCAAGUUCGUCCAGCGGAAAAAGACCACAAAAACGGUUGGGCAAUAGCCUUCGGGGGUGGGUCUGGCCAACUUCGUCCGCCGGACUCGGAAUGCUGCAAGACUUUGCGAGGGGCCUCCAUGUGCCAAAAAUAGGCCGCGGGCAAAGCCACGCCCAAAAAUAACCGCCCGAAGGCCGAGGCGCCAAGUUCGUCAAGCGGAAAAAGGCCACAAAAACGGGUGGGCUAUAGCCUUGGGGGGUGGGGCUGGCCAACUUCGCCCGCCGGACUCGGAAUGCAGCGAGACUUUGCGAGGGGCCUCCGUGUGCCAAAAAUAGGCCGCGGGCAAAGCCGCGCCCAAAAAUAACCGCCCGAAGGCCGGGGCGCCAAGUUCGUCCAGCGGAAAAAGUCCACAAAAACGGGUGGGCUAUAGCCUUGGGGGGUGGGGCUGGCCAACUUCGUCCGCCGGACUCGGAAUUCCGCAAGACUUUUCGAGGGGCCUCCGUGUGCCAAAAAUAGGCCGCGGGCAAAGCCGCGCCCAAAAAUAACCGCCCGAAGGCCGGGGCACCAAGUUCGUCCAGCGGAAAAAGGCCACAAAAAUGGGUGGGCUAUAGCCUUGGGGGGUGGGGCUGGCCCACUUCGUCCGCCGGACUCGGAAUUCCGCAAAACUUUGCGAGGGGCCUCCGUGUGCCAAAAAUAGGCCGCGGGCAAAGCCGCGCCCAAAAAUAACCGCCCGAAGGCCGGGGCGCCAAGUUCGUCCAGCGGAAAAAGUCCACAAAAACGGGUGGGCUAUAGCCUUGGGGGGUGGGGCUGGCCAACUUCGUCCGCCGGACUCGGAAUGCCGCGAGACUUUGCGAGCGGCCUCCGUGUGCCAAAAAUACGCCGCGGGCAAAGCAACACCCAAAAAUAACCGCCCGAAGGCCGGGGCGCCAAGUUCGUCCAGCGGAAAAAGGCGACAAAAACGGGUGGGCUAUAGCCUUGGGGGGUGGGGCUGGACAACUUCGUCCGCCGGACUCGGACUGCCGCGAGACUUUGCGAGGGGCCUCCGUGUGCCAAAAAUAGGCCGUGGACUAAGCCGUACCCAAAAAUAACCUCCCGAAGGCCGGGGCGCCUAGUUUGUCCAGCGGAAAAAGGCCACAAAAACGGGUGGGCUAUAGCCUUGGGGGGUGGGUCUGGCCCACUUCGUCCGCCGGACUCGGAAUGCCGCGAGACUUUGCGAGGGGCCUCCGUGUGCCAAAAAUACGCCGCGGUGAAAGCCGCGUCCAAAAAUAACCACCCGAACGCCGGGGCGCCAAGUUCGUCCAGUGGAAAAAGGCCACAAAAACGGGUGGGCUAUAGCCUUGGAGGGUGGGGCUGGCCCACUUCGUCCGCCGGACUCGGAAUGCCGUGAGACUUUGCGAGGGGCCUCUGUGUGCCAAAAAUAGGUCGUGGGCAAAGCCGCGCCCAAAAAUAACCGCCCGAAAGCCGGGGCGCCAAGUUCGUCCAGCGGAAAAAGGCCACAAAAACAGGUGGGCUAUAGCCUUGGGGGGUGGGGCUGGCCAACUUCGUCCGCCGGACUCGGAAUGCCGCGAGACUUUGCGAGCGGCCUCCGUGUGCCAAAAAUACGCCGCGGGCAAAGUAACACCCAAAAAUAACCGCCCGAAGGCCGGGGCGCCAAGUUCGUCCAGCGGAAAAAGGCGACAAAAACAGGUGGGCUAUAGCCUUGGGGGGUGGGGCUGGCCAACUUCGUCCGCCGGACUCGGAAUGCCACGAGACUUUGGGAGGGGCCUCUGUGUGCCAAAAAUAGGCCACGCGCAAAGCCGCGUCCAAAAAUAACCGCCCGAAUGCCGGGGCGCCAAGUUUGUCCAGCGGAAAAAGGCCACAAAAACGGGUGGGCAAUAGCCUUGGGGGGUGGGGCUGGCCAACUUCGUCCGCCGGACUAGGAAUGCCACGAGACUUUGCGAGGGGCCUCCGUGUGCCAAAAAUAGGCCGCGGGCAAAGCCGCGUCCAAAAAUAACCGCCCGAAGGCUGGGGCGCCAAGUUCGUCCAGCGGAAAAAGGCGACAAAAACGGGUGGGCCAUAGCCUUGGGGGGUGGGGCUGGCCAACUUCGUCCGCCGGACUAGGAAUGCCGCGAGACUUUGUGAGGAGCCUCCGUGUGCCAAAAAUAGGCCGCGGCCAAAGCCGCGCCAAAAAAUAACCACCCGAAGGCCGGGGCGCCAAGUUCGUCCAGCGGAAAAAGGCCACAAAAACGGGUGGGCUAUAGCCUUGGGGGGUGGGGCUGGCCAACUUCGUCCGCCGGACUCGGAAUGCCGCGAGACUUUGCGAGGGGCCUCCGUGUGCCAAAAAUAGGCCGCGGGGAAAGCCGCGUCCAAAAAUAACCACCCGAACGCCGGGGCGCCAAGUUCGUCCAGUGGAAAAAGGCCACAAAAACGGGUGGGCUAUAGCCUUGGGGGGUGGGGCUGGCCCACUUCGUCCGCCGGACUCGGAAUGCCGUGAGACUUUGCGAGGGGACUCUGUGUUCCAAAAAUAGGCUGUGGGCAAAGCCGCGCCCAAAAAUAACCGCCCGAAGGCCGGGGCGCCAAGUUCGUCCAGCGGAAAAAGGCCACAAAAACAGGUGGGCUAUAGCCUUGGGGGGUGGGGCUGCCCAAAUUCGUCCGCCGGACUCGGAAUGCCACGAGACUUUGGGAGGGGCCUCCGUGUGCCAAAAAUAGGCCACGCGCAAAGCCGCGUCCAAAAAUAACCGCCCGAAUGCCGGGGCGCCAAGUUUGUCCAGCGGAAAAAGGCCACAAAAACGGGUGGGCAAUAGCCUUGGGGGGUGGGGCUGGCCAACUUCGUCCGCCGGACUAGGAAUGCCACGAGACUUUGCGAGGGGCCUCCGUGUGCCAAAAAUAGGCCGUGGGCAAAGCCGCGCCCAAAAAUAACCGCCCGAAGGCUGGGGCGCCAAGUUCGUCCAGCGGAAAAAGGCGACAAAAACGGGUGGGCUAUAGCCUUGGGGGGUGGGGCUGGCCAACUUCGUCCGCCGGACUAGGAAUGCCGCGAGACUUUGUGAGGAGCCUCCGUGUGCCAAAAAUAGGCCGCGGCCAAAGCCGCGCCCAAAAAUAACUGCCCGAAGGCCGGGGCGCCAAGUUCGUCCAGCGGAGAAAGGCCACAAAAACGGGUGGGCUAUAGCCUUGGGGGGUGGGGCUGGCCCACUUCGUCCGCCGGACUCGGAAUGCCACGAGACUUUGCGAGG